UUGCAUUAAAGUGGUAUAAUUUUACCGUUCUUGUUGCUUGCACACUUUUAUGGAAGUAUACCAUGAUAAAUGCAGCAUGCAAGCGAUAUGCUGGCUCUGAUGAUGACUUGAAAGAGAGUGCCCUUUUGGAAGGUUUUAGAUGCAUAAAUGACCAGUGUGAUGGUUUUCUGCUACCAAAUCCUGUGCAGAUGGUAAGAAUUUUACUUGUCAACGUUGUGGACUUCUUA